rnacentral:rRNA from 1 species
GGGGACCUGCGGAAGGAUCAUUACCGAGUGCGGGCCCUCUGGGUCCAACCUCCCAUCCGUGUCUAUCUGUACCCUGUUGCUUCGGCGUGGCCACGGCCCGCCGGAGACUAACAUUUGAACGCUGUCUGAAGUUUGCAGUCUGAGUUUUUAGUUAAACAAUCGUUAAAACUUUCAACAACGGAUCUCUUGGUUCCGGCAUCGAUGAAGAACGCAGCGAAAUGCGAUAAUUAAUGUGAAUUGCAGAAUUCAGUGAAUCAUCGAGUCUUUGAACGCACAUUGCGCCCCCUGGUAUUCCGGGGGGCAUGCCUGUCCGAGCGUCAUUGCUGCCCUCAAGCACGGCUUGUGUGUUGGGCUUCCGUCCCUGGCAACGGGGACGGGCCCAAAAGGCAGUGGCGGCACCAUGUCUGGUCCUCGAGCGUAUGGGGCUUUGUCACCCGCUCCCGUAGGUCCAGCUGGCAGCUAGCCUCGCAACCAAUCUUUUUAACCAGGUUGACCUCGGAUCAGGUAGGGAUACCCGCUGAACUUAAGCAUAUCA